UACGUAGGGGGGCAAGCGUUGUCCGGAAUCAUUGGGCGUAAAGCGAGCGUAGGCGGCCCGAUAAGUCUGCUGUAAAAGUCAACGGCUCAACCGUUGAAAGCCGGUGGAUACUGUCGGGCUAGAGUUCGGAAGAGGCAAGUGGAAUUCCAAGUGUAGCGGUGAAAUGCGUAGAGAUUUGGAGGAACACCAGUGGCGAAGGCGACUUUCUGGUCUGUAACUGACACUGAGGCGCGAAAGCGUGGGGAGCAAACAGG
rnacentral:rRNA from 1 species